UACGUAGGGGGCGAGCGUUGUCCGGAUUUAUUGGGCGUAAAGAGCGUGUAGGCGGUUCGGUAAGUCUGUCUUGAAAUCCUGAGGCUCAACCUCGGGCGUGCGAUGGAUACUGCCGGGCUAGAGGAUGGUAGAGGCGAGUGGAAUUCCCGGUGUAGCGGUGAAAUGCGCAGAUAUCGGGAGGAACACCUAUGGCGAAGGCAGCUCGCUGGGACGUUACUGACGCUGAGACGCGAAAGCGUGGGGAGCAAACAGG
rnacentral:rRNA from 1 species